rnacentral:RNase_P_RNA from 1 species
GAGGAAAGUCCGGGCUCCAUAGGGUGAGGUGCCAGGUAACGCCUGGGGGGCGCGAGCCCACGGAAAGUGCAACAGAGAGCAGACCGCCGAUGUCGGCUAUUCGCCGGCAGGUAAGGGUGAAACGGUGCGGUAAGAGCGCACCGCGUCGGUGGCAACAUGCGACGGCUAGGUAAACCCCGCCUGGAGCAAGACCAAAUAGGGAAGUACGCGAACCCAUGGUUUGCGCCUGCGGCCCGCAGGAACUUCCGGGUAUGUCGCUGGAGAUGAGCGGUGACGCGCAUCCUACAUGGAUGGUUGCCCACGACAGAACCCGGCUUA